GGGUGUGACCCCCACAUCUGUCUCCCCACUGGUCCCAGGGCAGAUUCAGCUGAUGUGGCUGGCUAGGCAGGGGCUCUUCCCUCCCUCCCCUCCACGUGUGUCCCUCCCAAAGCUGUGGCUCUGUUGAAGGAAACAGCCCGCCUCGAAUCGGGAGGGAUGGUUUCUUUGGAUGAACGUUAAAAUGCUAAUAAUACUAAUACUAAGGUGCUACAUUAUGAUUGAUUUAGACAGGAAAUGAGCAAAGAUCCUUACAUUUAUUUAUUU
rnacentral:sRNA from 1 species